rnacentral:rRNA from 1 species
UACGUAGGGUGCGAGCGUUAAUCGGAAUUACUGGGCGUAAAGCGUGCGCAGGCGGUUCGCCAAGUCAGGUGUGAAAUCCCCGGGCUUAACCUGGGAAUUGCGCUUGAAACUAGGGGGCUUGAGUGUGGCAGAGGGGGGUGGAAUUCCACGUGUAGCAGUGAAAUGCGUAGAGAUGUGGAGGAACACCGAUGGCGAAGGCAGCCCCCUGGGUCAACACUGACGCUCAUGCACGAAAGCGUGGGGAGCAAACAGG